CGCUAUCACUCCUACGGGUAGGCAGCAGUGGGGAAUCUUGGACAAUGGGCGCAAGCCUGAUCCAGCCAUGCCGCGUGAGUGAUGAAGGCCCUAGGGUCGUAAAGCUCUUUCGCCAGAGAUGAUAAUGACAGUAUCUGGUAAAGAAACCCCGGCUAACUCCGUGCCAGCAGCCGCGGUAAUACGGAGGGGGUUAGCGUUGUUCGGAAUUACUGGGCGUAAAGCGUACGUAGGCGGAUUAGUUAGUCAGAGGUGAAAUCCCAGGGCUCAACCCUGGAACUGCCUUUGAUACUGCUAGUCUUGAGUUCGAGAGAGGUGAGUGGAAUUCCGAGUGUAGAGGUGAAAUUCGUAGAUAUUCGGAGGAACACCAGUGGCGAAGGCGGCUCACUGGCUCGAUACUGACGCUGAGGUACGAAAGUGUGGGGAGCAAACAGGAUUAGAUACCCUGGUAG
rnacentral:rRNA from 1 species